rnacentral:lncRNA from 1 species
GUCUCACCAACUACUCCGAACGUUACAUCCAGCCACCAAACAACAAAGGGAGAUAUCCAAUCCAAAGGACACCAAAAGAGCUUCGUCCAAAUGACAGGCCGCAUAUCAAAUAAGACAAAGGGGGGCGGAUGACGUCAUCCCAAUCUACGAGUAUAAAUACUCCACUUCAAGUACAAUCAAGCCAAGAAGGAUUGCAAAAGGAGACGCGGUUCAAGUUCUCGUAGCAGAAAUUGUACAAGAAGACGCUUCUCAAGCUCUUGUCAAAGACAACGAUUUGAAUCGAUUUAUUUAAAUAUGUUGUAUU